GCGCCGUUAGCUCAGCGGAAUAGAGCGACUGACUACGGAUCAGUAGGCCGGGGGUUCAAAUCCUCCACGGCGCACCA
rnacentral:tRNA from 1 species